rnacentral:tRNA from 1 species
GUCCCCGUAGCUCACCAGGAUAGAGCGACUCCCUCCUAAGGAGUAGGUAACAGGUUCGAGUCCUGCCGGGGACGCCA